UUCAGAAAAGCACAAAGGUUGUCCUGUUGUUCUUCACUGUCAAGGUAGACAGGCACCUGGCGAAAGGACUUCGGAGGAUACCACUUUGAAGUCUUCCCAUUAAGUACAUCCUACAGGCACAGACAGGAUUUUUAUUGGCCUGUGACUGCCAAUAAAUGUGGCACAUAGUUGACAAUAAUUUUAACAAAAGCCCUGGUUGAUUUAUUUACUGUGAGUAUGUAAUGAUGAAUAUGUUGAAGUACCACAAAAUGCUGUUCAGCCCCUGGUGACUGUACAAUAUAAUCCACCAUUCUCUUUUCCUCUGCAGUGCGGUCAAAGACAGCCUGCAUGUGGACUGGAAUUUCCUCAGUGAUGGCACGCUUUCUUGGCACUCUGUACCCUUGGCUGAAGGGUUCCCUGUAACAAGCUUCUGGCCUCAUCAGUCCAGAAGGCAAACCUCUGGCCAUGCCUUUCAAAAAUGAAUAACAAGAUUAAUCUAGAAUAUAGCAAAAAAAAAAAACUUUGUGUCUACUUAUAAUAUUAACUUGAAUUAGUCAUCAGGUUAAUAUACACAUAUUGUUUAGGGCUGUCAUACCCAUCAAUUUUAAAACGCUCCAUAAGAAGAAGACACCAUCACUUCCGAAUCAAAGGCAUGUCCAUUUGAAAGAAAUGUGAUAAUGAUUAGGAUAGUCGUUAGUUUAUAAAUUGUACAUUUUUUUUAUCAAUUUCAUCCUCAUACACAUUUUUGAAUCAACUCACCUCCUGGAAUUCAAACCAUGUGUCUGUCACAUGGUUCAGUGUAUACCGAAACAGAGAAGAAGGAAAACAUCUUAUUUACUAUGUUGACAGAAACAUGCGGAUGUUUACCAUACACACACGGGACACUUUACCAUAAGCAUAAAAAUUCAUGCAACAGUUUAGUUAAACGAAUGUGCUAACAAUUCAUUUACAGCAUUAUCUAAUAUACGUAUGAUGGCUAUGAUUUCAAGACUAUUUAGCAAAUCACGAUCACUUCGGUUACGAUACCUUUCCAAUGAAAUGCAUCACGAUUGUAUUUAAUGUUCAAAUAAAAAUUGAUUCACAUUUGAUACUCACACUCUGUUUGUCGUCCAUCUUUGCUGGUCCUCUAAUUCGCUAGGUGGCGUUGUCACUAAAAUCCAGGGUCCUAGAAUUGCGAUCCUAAAACUACGGUCCUAAAAGUGCAGCCUCCGGUUGUGCAGGCACACGCUACUAGGCUAAACCGCUGCUGAAGCAAAAAAAUAGUGUGCUGUAUUUUCAUCAUGGGUAUGGAAAGCCAAAAGGGACAAAACCUGUGAAACAUACGCAUUAACACGUAGUGUGUUAAAGGGCGAUUUAUAGUCAUGCGUAGGUCCUACGGCGUAGCUACGGCGUAGGCUAUCCGUAGCCUGUGCGUAGCUCUGUGUAGCCUGACGCCCACCUCACAAAAUUUCUAACAGCGCGUCAGCUCUACGCGGACCGUAAGCGCUGUGAUUGGUACACCAGAACCCCUCCCGUCAGGUAAAAAAACUGCGUCAUAGGUAUUUCCGUUUGAGACGGUGAAAACAAAGAUGAGCCAAGUUGAGGAGUGAUUUAACUCAAACUGAAACAUAAGUCGCUGUUUAUUUACUUCCAUCAUUGCUGGUCUUCUCAAAUUAUACACAACAAGUUGCUAUUUCUUCUUCGUUUGUGGGUUAGCUUCUUCUUCUGUGACGACUUCUGCUGCUACUGUGGUUACACGCGUGAUUACUGCCAACCAACGGUUUCGCGUGUGUUUGCACGUCGACGCGGACGGCGACGCACAAGUAUAAAUGAAAACUGACGCGGAACCUACGCCGUCGCUGCUACUCCGUAGGACCUACGCACGACUAUAAAUCGCCCUUAAUGCGUAACGUUAACGCGUAAAUCACGUGUUAACGCGUCAUUUCUUAUGCUGGCACGUUAGAAAUCAUGGACAUGGAGCUUUACCACCAUCUAGUGGUGUGGGGAAUCUGGCCUAAAUACACAGAACAGACAGAUAGUUAGGAUUGUAAAUUUAAGUAUUUUAUCCUAAAUAUAUAUUUUUAAAAGUAAUUAACAGUGAAUAAUGAUCAUAAAUAGGUUACAGCUUUGACUAUAUAUAUUAAUUUUGGUAUAAUUUAAUGUGUUUGAAAAUGACUUUGUUAGCUUUGUGAAUUAGGCAAUGGUCCCAAUUUCUAUUUCCUUUGUGUCUUAUGUCUUGUUCUUUUAGCACCUGCCUAUAGAAAUAAUUAUAUUCUUAAAAAUAGAGGUGCUAAAUGAUGACACAGUAGUGUUACACAAUUCUCAUAAACAGUAGAGGAUGGUUAAUAUUGCAAGAAAAAAACUUUACUUUAAUUACUACUUAACCACAGGUAAUAUAAUUGUUAAUAACAAUUGGUUAAUAUCAAGAUUAUGAAAGUAAAUGGAAUGUAUGCUGGCACUGGCACUCUAUACGUAUGGCCUAAUGGGAGAACAUCAAUGUCAUUGUAUAGUGGAUGUGGAGAGCAGUUAGGCUUUAAAACAUGCUUUUCGAGUUAAAUUAAUAAUCUUAUUUUGUCUGAAGGAGGCUCUGUACUACAUACCUUUUAAGCUUUUUUUUACUUUUUGGCAUGAAGUGCCUCAGACAAAGUUCCCAUAUCAGAAAGUAUGUGUCAUAGAUCAAUCUGAGGCCUCCAAUGGAUUAGUCAAGCUCAGACCGUUUCUUUGUCAUAGUAAAUAGAAAAAGAAGAAAAAGAAGCAGCAGUAACUACAGAAGACAGUUUUGUCAUGUAAAUGGCCUUGGAAAAAAGUCUUUUUAACUGCAAUCACAUAAGUUGAUGGAAACUGUGUCAGGCUUUCACAGAUGGAGACGAUAUAGUGAGGUAAAAUGUUAGUGCUGUUUAAAUGAAUGUGUUGUGUUUGUUAUUAAUUUGAAAAUAUGAACAUAAAGUUAUGACUCAUGACAUACUGGCAAGAGAGUUAAUAACACAGAUCUGUCCUAAUAUGAGUGAAAGUAUAUUCCUUUGUACUGUGUAGCAUUAUUAGAGUAAGUUGGUAUAUAUAAUUUCCUUGUUGAUUUUACAUUAAUUUUAUGAUUUUACAUUUGAAUAGCCAUUGUUUAAAAAUCAUACAAACAAAUCUGAUUCUAGUUAUUACUAAUACGAGCAUCUUUUUAUGUCUUUCUUUGCAUAUGCUUGUCUUUCACAGAUUAUUCACCAAGUAUUUAUUCACAAGAUUGACCAAAGCUGAUUUAGAUGACCAAAUUAUGCACAUUAUGACCCACCCUGAGGCUGUAAGAGUGUGCCUAAUGAGAGAAUGUAUACUUUUAUAUGACUUAUACUUUUAUAAGGAGUUAUAGGACUUAAUAUACUCAAGAAGACCAAGGGAUCCUUAUGGGACUGUACAUGCUGGACAUACAGCCUCAUCUUCCCUCUCUAUGGCUAGCUUUACAUCGGUUGGCUCUCCUUUGGCUUUCUUCGGCUCUCUUCAUCCUGUCUGCCUGCCUCGCUGCUCUCCCCGAUAACAUUUCCUGUCUGAUGCCUUGACCUCUGACUCUUUCUGCCAGGUGCCAUCCUCAGCGUUGACUCACUUUAGUGCCACCCUGCUGAUUGGCAUUGCACUUCUGAGGUCAUCACCAUCUUUCUUCAGCCAACCAAAACAAUUCUCACCAACCACCCCGGCUCUGCUAAGCUUGAUGUUGGAGGUCUGCUGUUUUUGAAGCAGGGGACCACUGUCCAUUAAAGGCUUUCUAAACCAUUUAACAAAAUCACAAAAGAUAGGGUAGUUCAUACUCCAUGUGAUGUGCUAUACAAUGGAAGGGCCAUCACAUCUGGAUACUGCAAAGAACAAUUUACUAACUUAUCAAUUAUUAAAUGAAGAAAGGCAAUGGAAAAGCAAAGAUAUUUCUUUCCCUGGGGAAUUUGAGUCUUAAAUUUAGUAAUUACUGUUUUAUGGAAUAAAUAAAAGUUGAAUAUUACGUUA